GUGGGGAAUAUUGGGCAAUGGGGGAAACCCUGACCCAGCGACGCCGCGUGAGGGAAGACGGCCUUCGGGUUGUAAACCUCUUUUGUACGGGAAGAAGGAAGUGACGGUACUGUACGAAUAAGUCCCGGCUAACUACGUGCCAGCAGCCGCGGUAAUACGUAGGGGACGAGCGUUGUCCGGAAUUACUGGGCGUAAAGGGCGCGCAGGCUGUGCUGCAAGUCAGCUGUGAAAUGUCUGGGCUUAACCCGGGCAUGCGGUUGAGACUGCAGUGCUGGAGUGCUGUAGAGGCAAGUGGAAUUCCCAGUGUAGCGGUGAAAUGCGUAGAUAUUGGGAAGAACACCGGUGGCGAAGGCGACUUGCUGGGCAGCAACUGACGCUGAGGCGCGAAAGCCAGGGGAGCAAACGGGAUUAGAAACCCUAGUAGUCC
rnacentral:rRNA from 1 species